UACGUAGGGUGCGAGCGUUGUCCGGAAUUAUUGGGCGUAAAGAGCUCGUAGGCGGUCUGUCGCGUCGAUCGUGAAAACUCGGGGCUCAACUCCGAGCUUGCAGUCGAUACGGGCAGGCUAGAGUUCGGCAGGGGAGACUGGAAUUCCUGGUGUAGCGGUGAAAUGCGCAGAUAUCAGGAGGAACACCGGUGGCGAAGGCGGGUCUCUGGGCCGAUACUGACACUGAGGAGCGAAAGCGUGGGGAGCGAACAGG
rnacentral:rRNA from 1 species